rnacentral:rRNA from 1 species
ACUCCGUGCCAGCAGCCGCGGUAAUACGGAGGGUGCGAGCGUUAAUCGGAAUUACUGGGCGUAAAGCGUACGCAGGCGGUUUGUUAAGCGAGAUGUGAAAGCCCCGGGCUCAACCUGGGAACUGCAUUUCGAACUGGCAAACUAGAGUGUGAUAGAGGGUGGUAGAAUUUCAGGUGUAGCGGUGAAAUGCGUAGAGAUCUGAAGGAAUACCGAUGGCGAAGGCAGCCACCUGGGUCAACACUGACGCUCAUGUACGAAAGCGUGGGGAGCAAACAGG